GAAAACCAUCAGUCAUGUUUGUCACUUCAUCAAUAAAGGCGGGAAUGUAGCUCACGCGCGCCACUGCCAAUACCCUGUCGAUAUUGAUGAGCUCCAGGUGGUCAAGCAUCUCGUGACAACCGAAUGAGUGGCGCGCAGUUACAUCCAACAGAUGACACGUAUGGUGUCGCAUUUCAGGAGUUUUCGAUACCCCAACAUUUGCUUGUAGAGUGUAACUAAAAUACACAGUUCAUUAUUCAAGAGUCUGAUUUUGUAGGAUACGUUUUUCUAUCAAUGUGUCAUUCCAGAAACAUAGAAAGUCACCUCAACUGCGACGGAAAAUAGUAGACGUGUCCUGUCCCUAAAGUUAGAUAUGGAAGAUGGCUUCGUGCAGGGUCAGAGGGUGGACACAGGAGGACAAACCCACCCCUGAGAGUCCUAUAGAGUAAGAGCCACCAGAGUGAGUGUUUGUGUUGGUCUUAAUGACACCUAAACACAGCCAAGACACGCACAGACCCACAACAAUCUCCAGGCCCUCAUCUCUUUAAUCUGUCCCCUCACUUAUUCCCUCUGUUCCUGCUCUCUUCCUCCUGCGCCCAGAGCCCACCCCUAACCCAGCCCAGAGGAGGUCACGUUGUGUCACCACAGCAAAGUCCUCUGGGUAAAUAACCCCUCAAGUCUCAGUGCCUCACCGCUGCCACCACCUGAGGGGCGAGAGAGAGACGGCCCCACAGGACAACGAGCUGGAACUCAAAACAACUGGCAGUGGUUUGGAACAAAAUAAGACUAUUUGGCCAAAAUCUUGAUUUCUUUUUCAGUUACCUUUUGAAGUGAACAAAAUGGUUUGCUUUUUAGAUAAUGUAAUGGAACAAUUUGUGUUGUGCUCAUUCAAGGCCAUGGUUCUGUGAUACGGGCUGUUGCAGUGUGCAGCACUAGAAUUUAGUAAAGGUGUCCAUUUUUAGCCUUCACCAAUGUUUACUUCAUUUCUUCACUGGUUCAUUGCUUCAUUGUUUACUGGUUUGUUGCUUUACUGGUUUGCCGGUAACGGUAAGUUCAAUAAAGGUUUUUAAAAAAAAAAAAAAGAAUAUAUAAUACUUCACCGCUCCAUGUAGGCUCAGGCAAAAACGAGCGGUCUGCUGUCCCAUGAAGUAACACCCUGCUGUGGUUUGAUGUGAUGACAUGGAACAGGAGGGAGCAUAUGGAAGUUGCUCUCCAGGGAUUGAAUUAUUCCCUUUGUGUGUUUCUCUCAGCCCAGUGCUGCCAGGUGCAGGUGUAGUGACAUUUAGAUUUCACUGAGCAGAUCACAUGGCUGUCAGAUGGAGGGACAGAGAUGAAUGUAACGCAGCAUCAGAUGGGGGGACAAAGAUGAAUGUAACUCAGCAUCAGAUGGGGUUGGAGACAGGGGGGUAGAUGAAUGUAACCCAGCAUCAGAUGGUGGUGGAGACGGG
rnacentral:lncRNA from 1 species